rnacentral:rRNA from 1 species
UACGUAGGGUGCGAGCGUUGUCCGGAAUUAUUGGGCGUAAAGAGCUCGUAGGCGGUUUGUUGCGUCGGCCGUGAAAACUUGGGGCUUAACCCCGAGCCUGCGGUCGAUACGGGCAGACUUGAGUUCGGCAGGGGAGACUGGAAUUCCUGGUGUAGCGGUGAAAUGCGCAGAUAUCAGGAGGAACACCGGUGGCGAAGGCGGAUCUCUGGGCCGAUACUGACGCUGAGGAGCGAAAGCGUGGGGAGCGAACAGG